AUGUCCAAACACGGAGAAGCCCCCAAGGCCUCUACAUGGGUCAUUGCUGGCCGACGAAGUUCGACAGCGUCCAGGGCGCCAGAAAGGAGGUUGGCAGAGGAGUCGAAUCGAGAAGGUCCGGAGGUAUAUAGGGUCGUCAGAGGUGGCUACUGGAGAGGCGCCUCCAGGCCCCCGAACGCUGUGGCUGCUGGUCAUGGGGAACCGCCACCAUGUUUCACUUUGAAGAACCACUUUGUUGGCGCGGUGAUCAGUCGUGGUGGGUCGAAAAUAAAGCAUAUACAAAAUUCAACAAACACCGUAAUUCAAAUAAUACAAGAAAGACCAGAAUCAUUAGUCAAAAUAUAUGGCAGCAAAGCAAUGCAAGCAAAAGCAAAAGCAAUGAUUGAUAAUUUUGUGAAAAAGCUAGAAGAAAAUUCAGAAUGCAGAGUUGAUUUACCACCAAUUAAGAAAAACCUUUAGAAAGAGUCGGCUGCCACAAGUUCAAUGUCCAAGGUCCAAGCGCAUAGUUGAAGGAUGGGGAGAAACGACCUAUCCCCAAUCCAACCUGUGCAUUUGAUGACGCCUUUCAUUACUAUCCUGAGGUUAUGGAAAACAUUAAAAAAUCAGGUUUUAAAAAGCCAACACCUAUUCAGGCACAAGCAUGGCCCAUUGUUUUGCAAGGAAUAGAUCUUAUAGGAGUAGCCCAAACUGGAGGGAAAACAUUGUGUUAUUUAAUGCCUGGAUUUAUUCAUUUGGACCUUCAACCAACCUUUAAAGGUCAAAGGAAUAGACCCCGCAUGUUAGUUCUAACUCCCACUAGGGAGUUAGCACUUCAAGUUGAAGGAGAAUGUUGCAAAUAUUCAUAUAAAGGGCUUCGGAGUGUUUGUGUAUACAGUGGUGGAAACAGAUGAACAAAUAGAAGAGCUUAGAAAGGCGUAGAUAUCAUAAUUCCAACUCCCGGAAGAUUGAUUGAUUUUCAAAUGAAUAACUGUCAAUCUGAAGAAUAUAACCUACUUGGUUUUAGAUGAAGCAGACAAGAUGUUAGACAUGGGAUUUGAACCCCAGAUAAUGAAACUUUUGUUAGAUGUGCGCCCAGAUAGGCAGACGGUUAUGGCCAGUGCUACAUGGCCAUGUUCUGUUCAUCGCCUCGCACAACCUUAUUUGAAAGAGCCAAUGCUUGUCUAUGUUGGUACACUGAAUCUUGUUGCUGUAAGUUCAGUGAAACAAGAUAUAAUUGUAACCACCGAGGAAGAGAAAUGGAUUCACAUACAAACUUUUCUACAGAGUAUGUCAUCCACAGACAAAGUCAUAGUUUCUGUUUCUCGAAAAGCUGUCGCAGAUCACUUAUCGAGUGAGCUAAUACUUGGAAAUACGUCAGUAGAGUCUCUGCAUGGAGAUAGAGAACAGAGAGACCGGGAAAAAGCAUUGGAGAACUUUAAAACAGGCAAAGUGAGAAUACUAAUUGCAACUGAUCUAGCCUCUAGAGGGCUUGAUGUCCAUGCUAUUACACGUCUAUAAUUUUAACUUUCCACGAAACAUUGAAGAAUAUGUACACCAAACAGGGCGCACGGGAAGAGCAGGGAGGACUGGUGUUUCCAUUACAACUAUCACUAGAAACGAUUGGAGGUUUGCCCCUGAAUUGGUUAGUAUUCUGCAAAGAACAAAUCAGACUAUUCCUGAUGACCUUUUAUCAAUGGCUGAGAGGUUCAAGGCGCGUCAACAGAAAAGAGAAAUGGAAAGAAAAACGGAAAGACCUCAAGGAAAGCCCAAGAAGUUUUAAUAAUGUCUUCUGCACUAGUGUGGUAGACAAGUCAAGAUUUUUUAGAAAUCUAAUAAGAUGGAAGUAUUGGAUGUGCUGGCAAUAUGAACAGACUGGAGUGAUUCAAGUGAUUCUUAGAAUAAUAGUGUUUGAAAAUGUAGAAUUAAUUGUUUUAUACUUUCUUUAAUAAAAGUAGAAGUAUUAAA